rnacentral:lncRNA from 1 species
UUUUUUUCUUCUCAUGAAUUUCUUGAACUUCCUUACUAUUAAGCCCAAGUCCUCAUCUUCGCUUUCUUCUUCACUCUCACUGCUUUCUUCUUCACAAACACUUGAAGUAGCCUUGAGUGCGAUUGUCUUCUUCUUUGGCACAUCUUCUUCAUGUUGCUUCAUUGUGAGCUCAUGCAUCAUCAAUGAGCCCAAUAGUUGUUCAAAUCCCAAUGUUUUGAGGUGUUUAGCUUCUACGAUCGCCGUGACCUUCGCUUUCCAAGCUUUUGGCAAGGACCUGAGAAUUUUACUCACAAGUUCUGGGUUAGUGUAAGAUUUACCCAAAUUUUUUAGACCAUUUAUUAUAUC